AUGGGGGCACCCUGAUCCAGCCAUGCCGCGUGUGUGAAGAAGGCCCUCGGGUUGUAAAGCACUUUCAGCGAGGAAGAACGCCUGUCGGUUAAUACCCGGCAGGAAAGACAUCACUCGCAGAAGAAGCACCGGCUAACUCCGUGCCAGCAGCCGCGGUAAUACGGAGGGUGCAAGCGUUAAUCGGAAUUACUGGGCGUAAAGCGCGCGUAGGUGGCUUGAUAAGCCGGUUGUGAAAGCCCCGGGCUCAACCUGGGAACGGCAUCCGGAACUAUCAGGCUAGAGUGCAGGAGAGGAAGGUAGAAUUCCCGGUGUAGCGGUGAAAUGCGUAGAGAUCGGGAGGAAUACCAGUGGCGAAGGCGGCCUUCUGGACUGACACUGACACUGAGGUGCGAAAGCGUGGGUAGCAAACAGGAUUAGAUACCCUGGUAGUCCACGCCGUAAACGAUGUCGACCAGCCGUUGGGUGCCUAGCGCACUUUGUGGCGAAGUUAACGCGAUAAGUCGACCGCCUGGGGAGUACGGCCGCAAGGUUAAAACUCAAAUGAAUUGACGGGGGCCCGCACAAGCGGUGGAGCAUGUGGUUUAAUUCGAUGCAACGCGAAGAACCUUACCUACCCUUGACAUCCUGCGAACUUGUGAGAGAUCACUUGGUGCCUUCGGGAGCGCAGAGACAGGUGCUGCAUGGCUGUCGUCAGCUCGUGUUGUGAAAUGUUGGGUUAAGUCCCGUAACGAGCGCAACCCUUGUCCUUAUUUGCCAGCACGUAAUGGUGGGAACUCUAAGGAGACUGCCGGUGACAAACCGGAGGAAGGUGGGGACGACGUCAAGUCAUCAUGGCCCUUACGGGUAGGGCUACACACGUGCUACAAUGGCCGGUACAAAGGGCUGCGAACUCGCGAGAGCAAGCGAAUCCCUUAAAGCCGGUCUCAGUCCGGAUCGGAGUCUGCAACUCGACUCCGUGAAGUCGGAAUCGCUAGUAAUCGUGCAUCAGAAUGGCACGGUGAAUACGUUCCCGGGCCUUG
rnacentral:rRNA from 1 species